GGUGAUAUUCCCAGGUUCCAGAGAUACAACAUGGAUGUCUUUUGGGCGAUAUACUGGGUUGAAGAGUAUCCCCUCCAAACAUCAUGGCCACUUGGAACUGCAGAAUAUAGCCGUAUUUGAAGUAGGGUCUUGGCAGAUGCCUUCACUGAUGCUGUUUCCUGCCUGAAACAUCUUAAUCAUCCUACUUGUAUGCCAGGAUCCUCAUCUGCCCCCGUUCCCUCCACAAAGCCUUCUGACCACUUGGUUCUGUUUUCUCCUCUGCCUUACAAAUGAACAAAUAUCCAGCCCUCAAAUUAAUGGAUUCAUUACCCCUAGCGCCACCUGGGAAGCCCUCUAAAGAGGAGAGACUCCCCCAAAGGAAUACCAACUAAGACACAGUGACAACCAUUGAACACCAGCCAGUCCCAGAUGUGUGAGGCAAGGGUAAAAUGGUGCCAGGUAUAAUAUCAUUUUCAAAAGUCAUCUUGGAGGUUGGUUAAAGGUCAGAAGGAGAGGAGUAGGAGGAAAACGAGGAUUCAGAGAAAUCUGGCUGAGUUCUGACUAUAGGGGACAGCAUCUAACCCUUAUAGUUAAUCAGUAUUAAUCGUGUGGCAGACAUUGCACCGCUGCUGCUGCUAAGUUGCUUCAGUCGUGUCCGACCCUGUGUGACCUCAUAGACGGCAGCCCACCAGGCUCCCGAGUCCCUGGGAUUCUCCAGAAUAACAAACACACCAAAUCACCCGGACCAGGUUAUGAAUCUGCCCCCAGAAAAUCCAGGUCAGUACCUUUGUAGGAUGACACAGAGCCAUCACUUAUAAACCUAGGUAGGUGAGUAAAUCUUGCCUAUUUCUUUCUCAGCAGUUAAUGACUAACCAAGCAGCAUCCCCAACCAAAUGUUGGUGUGACACUCCCUGUCUUUCAGGAUUCUCAGGGACUUAAGGGUACGCACAGGAUCAGAAGAAAUGAAUGUAUAGUGCAGACUUUUUUAUCCUACACUGUAAUUUUCAUUUAUUUAUUUAUUCACUCAUUUAUUCAGCUAGUGUAUAUGGAGCACAUAUUAUGAACCAGAAAUGGCUCACAUUUAUUCAGCUAAAUUAACAUCAAAGCA
ensembl:lncRNA